rnacentral:rRNA from 1 species
ACUCGAGUGGCGAACGGGUGAGUAACACGUGGGUGAUCUGCCCUGCACUUCGGGAUAAGCCUGGGAAACUGGGUCUAAUACCGGAUAGGACGAUAGUUUGGAUGCCAUUGUGGAAAGUUUUUUCGGUGUGGGAUGAGCUCGCGGCCUAUCAGCUUGUUGGUGGGGUAAUGGCCUACCAAGGCGUCGACGGGUAGCCGGCCUGAGAGGGUGUACGGCCACAUUGGGACUGAGAUACGGCCCAG